ensembl:lncRNA
CAGUGAUUGGUCAGACAGUGGUAGCGUAUCUAGUCUAUGUAUAUCUAUGGUCUGAACGUCUGUUAGCAUCUCUGGCUGCUGUUGACCUUAUUUUUGGAGUAAAACACGUGGAAGCUGAAUUAGUGAGGAUGACUCCUGCUCCUGUCAUCUCUAAGCUCCUCCCACAUCUUUACCUGCACAUGAGGAAAAUCACUCCUGUAGAAUGCAGAUGUUCAGAGGGAGAUGAUGCCACAUCUGGUCCAGCUGAUGGAAGGUCUUGAAGUUCUCUGACUGGCCUCGACUGAAGAUGGUCGUCUCACUGGAUUUAAGAUGCACAAUGAGGGACGUCUGCAGAGACUGAGAAAGAGUCUCACCACAUCCUGACAUGAGGAAAAAGACUUUAUUGAAGACUACAAUGAGAAAAACUAUCAGACAGCAGACGGCUGCAUUCAAGAGAGGAAGACCAUCAAACAUCCACGUCAGCUGAUGGAGGUCCAAGAGUCUCACCCAACAAACAACCUACAGAGUGAAGACCUCCAAUCUGAUUGGACGGCCUCCUAUUCAGCCACAUGUGUGAACAAAUGCCUCUAAGCUGAUUUGUUUUCUAAAAUGAAUCUAGUUUGAGUCCUAAUCUAUGCCUGUGUGUUUGCUUCUGUACACUGCUGUUAACAGUUUAAGCUGUUAGAUUGUUCCAGAUAAGACAAGUACAAGAUUCUUCAGAGCCGUUCUACCACGAGCCUGACGGGAAGAACUCCAACAUCUACUGAAUGUUCCUGUGGUUCCCUCAAGGCUACAGGAGGAGUCCUACGAGGACGAGCUGGUCCACCUGAUGGUGGCCAGUCGCUGCGGUUCAAAGCCAACACCGACUACGUGGACUUCUACUGGACCACACGGAGGCCUUCAAACCGGACCAACAAGUUCAGCGACUCCCCGACUCGUGGGUCUGAGGACGCCGCCGAGCCUCGGUCCAGCCGGCCUCCUGUCUGUGGGUGUUUGAGUGCUGAGAGGUUUGUGGAUGCAUGUGAACGUUCUGUGUUGAAACAGCAGCUUUGGACUCAGUAACGCCGGGAAAAACCAAGAGCUCCUUUAUUUGUG